rnacentral:rRNA from 1 species
AGUGAACGCUGGCGGUAGGCCUAACACAUGCCAGUCGAACGGCAGCACAGUAAGAGCUUGCUCUUACGGGUGGCGAGUGGCGGACGGGUGAGGAAUACAUCGGAAUCUACUUUUUCGUGGGGGAUAACGUAGGGAAACUUACGCUAAUACCGCAUACGACCUACGGGUGAAAGCAGGGGAUCUUCGGACCUUGCGCGUUUGAAUGAGCCGAUGUCGGAUUAGCUAGUUGGCGGGGUAAAGGCCCACCAAGGCGACGAUCCGUAGCUGGGCUGAGAGGAUGAUCGGCCACACUGGAACUGAGACACGGUCCAGACUCCUACGGGAGGCAGCAGUGGGGAAUAUUCGGCAAUGGGCGCAAGCCUGAUGCAGCCAUACCGCGUGGGUGAAGAAGGCCUUCGGGUUGUAAAGCCCUUUUGUUGGGAAAGAAAAGCAGCAGAUUAAUACCCCGCUGUUCUGACGGUACCCAAAGAAUAAGCACCGGCUAACUUCGUG